AACGAACGCUGGCGGCAGGCUUAACACAUGCAAGUCGAACGCCCCGCAAGGGGAGUGGCAGACGGGUGAGUAACGCGUGGGAACGUGCCCUUCGCUUCGGAAUAGCCCCGGGAAACUGGGAGUAAUACCGAAUACGCCGUAUUGGGAAAGAUUUAUCGGCGAAGGAUCGGCCCGCGUUAGAUUAGCUAGUUGGCGGUGUAAUGGACCACCAAGGCUACGAUCUAUAGCUGGUCUGAGAGGAUGAUCAGCCACACUGGGACUGAGACACGGCCCAGACUCCUACGGGAGGCAGCAGUGGGGAAUCUUGGACAAUGGGCGCAAGCCUGAUCCAGCCAUGCCGCGUGAGUGAAGAAGGCCUUAGGGUUGUAAAGCUCUUUUACCCGGGAAGAUAAUGACUGUACCGGGAGAAUAAGCUCCGGCUAACUUCGUGCCAGCAGCCGCCGUAACAC
rnacentral:rRNA from 1 species